AUUCCAGCUCCAAUAGCGUAUAUUUAAGUUGUUGCAGUUAAAAAGCUCGUAGUUGGAUUUCGGAUGGGAUUUGCCGGUCCGUCUUUGAGAUGUGUACUGGUAAGUCCUAUCUUGUUGUCGGGGACUAGCUCCUGGGCUUCACUGUCCGGGACUAGGAGCCGACGAAGUUACUUUGAGUAAAUUAGAGUGUUCAAAGCAAGCCUACGCUCUGAAUAUAUUAGCAUGGAAUAACACGAUAGGACUCUGGCUUAUCUUGUUGGUCUGUGAGACCAGAGUAAUGAUUAAGAGGGACAGUCGGGGACAUUCGUAUUUUAUUGUCAGAGGUGAAAUUCUUGGACCGUCUGAAGACUGACUACUGCGAAAGCAUUUGCCAAGAGUGUUUUCAUUG
rnacentral:rRNA from 1 species